rnacentral:pre_miRNA from 15 species
UGGGUGCUCUGGGUGGCAGGGCCUUGGCUGGGAUAUCAUCAUAUACUGUAAGUUUGCGAUGAGACACUACAGUAUAGAUGAUGUACUAGUCCGGGUAGCUCCAGCUCUGGAGGGGGG